rnacentral:rRNA from 1 species
UAGGGAAUCUUCGGCAAUGGGGGCAACCCUGACCGAGCAACGCCGCGUGAGUGAAGAAGGUUUUCGGAUCGUAAAGCUCUGUUGUAAGAGAAGAACGAGUGUGAGAGUGGAAAGUUCACACUGUGACGGUAACUUACCAGAAAGGGACGGCUAACUACGUGCCAGCAGCCGCGGUAAUACGUAGGUCCCGAGCGUUAUCCGGAUUUAUUGGGCGUAAAGCGAGCGCAGGCGGUUAGAUAAGUCUGAAGUUAAAGGCUGUGGCUUAACCAUAGUACGCUUUGGAAACUGUUUAACUUGAGUGCAGAAGGGGAGAGUGGAAUUCCAUGUGUAGCGGUGAAAUGCGUAGAUAUAUGGAGGAACACCGGUGGCGAAAGCGGCUCUCUGGUCUGUAACUGACGCUGAGGCUCGAAAGCGUGGGGAGCAAACAGGAUUAGAUACCCUGGUAGUCCACGCCGUANACGAUGAGUGCUAGGUGUUGGGUCCUUUCCGGGACUCAGUGCCGCAGCUAACGCAUUAAGCACUCCGCCNGGGGAGUACGACCGCANGGUUG